AUGUAUAAAGUGGUUUACCUUCUUUACAAAUACUUCGAAGCGACAACUUAACACAAGAAGAAAUUGAAGGAACCAUCUAAAAACAGUCUUAAAUUUGUACAAAGAUGUGCUUGAAAAUCCUCGAGAAAUUUAUACUGUUCGGCCUGAUUUUUAUCCUCUUCUUCAUACACCAGGGAUCCUUAGUUUUGUUGAUAAGCCAAAGGGAAUUGGAGUCAACAAACGAAUGGAAAUCGGUUACUCUUUUGAUUGUACUGUUUCCAUAUGUUGCCUCAUUGUUAUCACAAAUAUGGACAUCAUCAUUUUCAACAGAAGGGAAAUGGAAGGAGUGGCCCCAUUGGGGAUCGCUGUUAUUGAUGUAACGUCAUCGACAACGUCUUGACAACACCCAUUGUAGUAUGACGUCAGGAGUAUUUCACAAAUGAAACUAUCGGUUUUUAUUUCACUGGGAAAUCACGG